CACGUAGGGUGCGAGCGUUGUCCGGAAUUAUUGGGCGUAAAGAGCUCGUAGGCGGUGUGUCGCGUCGGCCGUGAAAACCUGCAGCUUAACUGUGGGCUUGCGGUCGAUACGGGCAUCACUGGAGUUCGGCAGGGGAGACUGGAAUUCCUGGUGUAGCGGUGAAAUGCGCAGAUAUCAGGAGGAACACCAAUGGCGAAGGCAGCUCACUGGGUCGGUACUGACGCUGAGACGCGAAAGCGUGGGGAGCAAACAGG
rnacentral:rRNA from 1 species